rnacentral:rRNA from 1 species
CCUACGGGUGGCAGCAGUGGGGAAUUUUGGACAAUGGGCGCAAGCCUGAUCCAGCUAUUCCGCGUGUGGGAAGACGGCCUUCGGGUUGUAAACCACUUUUGUAGAGAACGAAAAGUCAAUUGAUAAUACCGAUAGAUGAUGACGGUACUCUAAGAAUAAGCACCGGCUAACUACGUGACAGCAGCCGCGGUAAUACGUAGGGUGCGAGCGUUAAUCGGAAUUACUGGGCGUAAAGGGUGUGCAGGCGGGUUUGCAAGAUGGAUGUGAAAGCCCCGGGCUUAACCUGGGAAAGCCAUACAUGACUGCAAGACUAGAGUGCGUCAGAGGGGAGUGGAAUUCCAAGUGUAGCAGUGAAAUGCGUAGAUAUUUGGAAGAACACCGAUGGCGAAGGCAGCCCCCUGGGACGCAACUGACGCUCAUGCACGAAAGCGUGGGGAGCAAACAGGAUUAGAUACCCGAGUAGUC